CCUACGGGUGGCUGCAGUGAGGAAUAUUGGUCAAUGGGCGCGAGCCUGAACCAGCCAAGUCGCGUGAGGGAAGACGGUCCUAUGGAUUGUAAACCUCUUUUGUCGGGGAGCAAAAGAAGCCACGCGUGGCGAUCCGAGAGUACCCGAAGAAAAAGCAUCGGCUAACUCCGUGCCAGCAGCCGCGGUAAUACGGAGGAUGCGAGCGUGAUCCGGAUGUAUUGGGUUAAAAGGGUGCUCAGGCGGAAGUUCAAGUCAGCGGUAAAAUUGAGAGGCUCAACCUCUUCUAGCCGUUGAAACUGGUUUUCUUGUGUGUGUUUGACGUAUGCGGCAUGCGUGGUGUAGCGGUCAAAUGCAUCGAUAUCACGCAGAACUCCGAUUGCGAAGGCAGCUUACCGGCCCUCAACUGACGCUCAUGCACGACAGUGUGGGUAUCGAACAGGAUUAGAUACCCGGGUAGUC
rnacentral:rRNA from 1 species